rnacentral:rRNA from 1 species
GACGAACGCUGGCGGCGUGCUUAACACAUGCAAGUCGAACGCUCGACCUUCGGGUCGGGAGUGGCAGACGGGUGAGUAACGCGUGGGAACGUACCCUUCGGUUCGGAAUAACCCAGGGAAACUUGGGCUAAUACCGGAUACGUCCUGGCCUGGAGACAGGGUGGGAGAAAGGUUUACUGCCGAAGGAUCGGCCCGCGUCGGAUUAGCUAGUUGGUGGGGUAACGGCCCACCAAGGCGACGAUCCGUAGCUGGUCUGAGAGGAUGAUCAGCCACACUGGGACUGAGACACGGCCCAGACUCCUACGGGAGGCAGCAGUGGGGAAUAUUGGACAAUGGGCGAAAGCCUGAUCCAGCCAUGCCGCGUGAGUGAAGAAGGCCUUAGGGUUGUAAAGCUCUUUCAGCGGGGACGAUAAUGACGGUACCCGCAGAAGAAGUCCCGGCUAACUUCGUGCCAGCCGCCGCCGUAAU